rnacentral:lncRNA from 1 species
GGGAAAAAUCUUUACUCUAUAAAUCGAUUUUGUAGGGUUGAGUUCGGACAACAACAUUUCUUUUAACACAUAUUUUUGAUAAACAUAAAAUUUAGUAUAAUGAAUGAGUUUGUCAUAGUGUCCUGUUUUGGUAAAACUACAUUUUUAAAUUUCAAUAGAAUCAUGUAUUAAUGUAAUAUAGUUGAACUGCCAUCUGUCCGAACCUACACUCAAUUGUGAUCAAAAUAAACAUGGUUAUCAAAUAAUUUUAAAUCCUCAUAUUUAAUGGUGUAUGCAAAGGAACAAGAUCCAUUUAGUGCUUUACAUUUUAUAAUCUUUACUAAAAUGAAAGGGGAUGCCGAAUCAAGUAGUGGCUGACAACAGAAUCACCAUGCGUUUAGUAAAGAAGAUAUUGAUCCUUUCUCAAUUAAUAACUUACUAUAUGUAUGUCCAAAAAGAGUAGUUGUUGUUCGUUCCUCCUCUUCUUGAUCUAUCUGUUUUUGGAUAUAAAAAAUUAUAAAAAGCAAAGCUUCUCUCACUUUGGAAGAUACUCUACACGUUUCAAACUAUUAAGGCUAUAUAUUGUCCUACUCGACCUAAGCUAUAUGGAUUGAGACUUGGACAGAGUAAAAGAUUAUGAAAUAUCAGGAGAUAUUCGGAAACUAUGACACAUGAAAAGCUAUUUUGUAUGGUAAGAAUCUAAGAUGUGCAAGUGCUUGUGAUCUUUGACACUGGCUGUUACAAAGAUCAAAGUUUGACAUUUUAUUGGAGGAUAUUGCCUCCUACAAUC